rnacentral:rRNA from 1 species
AGGACGAACGCUGGCGGCGUGCUUAACACAUGCAAGUCGAGCGGUAAGGCCUUUCGGGGUACACGAGCGGCGAACGGGUGAGUAACACGUGGGUGAUCUGCCCUGCACUCUGGGAUAAGCCUCGGAAACGGGGUCUAAUACCGGAUAUGACUGCGCCAUGCAUGUGGUGUGGUGGAAAGUUCUGGCGGUGAGGGAUGAGCUCGCGGCCUAUCAGCUUGUUGGUGGGGUAAUGGCCUACCAAGGCUUCGACGGGUAGCCGGCCUGAGAGGGUGACCGGCCACGACUGGGACUGAGACACGGCCCAGACUCCGUACGGGAGGCAGCAGUGGGGAAUAGUUGGACAAGUGGGACGAAAGCCUAGAUCCAGCGAACGCCGCGUGAGGGAUGACGGUCCGUUCGGGUUAGUAAACCGUCUA